GGCGCUCGGCCUGGCGAGACUCGGGGGCUUCCCACACCGCGCUGUACGGGGGGGGUUUACCGGCUUCUCUGCAGCCUGCCAGGCCUCUUGGAGGUGGAAGGGAAGUCUGACAGUGCCCGGGGCAAUCUCCCAUAGGCAGGGAGAUCGGAACCAGCAAGUCUGCACAGAAACAGCUCUGGGGAGCUCUAUGUAGCUGUUAGACAACUUUCUUAUUUAACCCGGUGUCACAGAGAUGGGAGUUCUUAGCUCCAGGCACGACCAUUAGUUCUUUUUAACUGCAAGAAGUUAAGCUCCUUUUCACAAAGGAUUCAGACUAAAGCAGUUUCAUAAGCUUGAGCUCCUGGGUCUGAGCAUGAAGGACUAACAGCUUCUUAUAGAUUAUACUAAGAGUGGGUCUCAUCUGGUAAAACCCUUCCAGGAAGUCCCUUGAGUAAUGUUAUUUUCAGAGAAUUUGCUUUCCGAUGAGCAAUGGUGAGAGGAUGCUCUUAGCUUUGUCCUGUGAGUACUGUGAGAACUUGUUUUGUUCAAAUGAUCUCAGAUUUAGUGCCUCAAGACUGGCAUUUCUAUUUUAUGCCCAGUAGUACACCUCUCACUUUUUUCUGGUAACAAAAAGGUAUAUUGUAGUUUUUUGAUUGUUAGCACUGCUCUUCGUUCCAACCAGUGCUGUCAUACAGCACUUGCAUUUGAUUCCUCAUGUCCAGUUGCCAAGGCAGCAGACACAAAAACAAAUGGGAUGAGCUUUGGAGAAGGCUUUAAGGAUCCUUAGGGACAUAAGGUCCUGGAGAAGCACAGAGUUGUCUUCAGGGUAUAAUUGAUUACUCAAGCCAAAAGCAAUGGGGGGAGGGGUGUGUGUGUGUAGGUUUAGUUUUCUUAAUUAAAACAACACUUUCUGCAAAUUUAAAGGAGCUGGUGAUGGUGUCACCAUGUUGAACAAUGUGACAGCUUUCCACUCAGAUAGAUAGAUAGAUCUAUCUAUCUAUCUAUCUAGCCCUUUUUCUCCCCCCUCUCCCAAUAAAAGGGCAGUAACGGUUAGUACUUAAUGUGUGGUACUGGAAUUGCCUGAGCCCUAGUCCUGAGUCAUAAUUGAGUCUUUUGGAGUCUUCCUCCCUGGGGUAGGAAGUGGAGGACAGUUUUAACUCAGUAUUUCUUUUGGAUGUAGUAAAUACAUUCAUAUUCCUUAGUCAUAUUUUGAAUUUCUGAGCAUCCUGUUAGUAUUGCAAUAUAAAUUUGGAUGCUUAAAAAGAACAUUAAAGCAGAAUAAAGUUGUCCUAAAUAUCAGCCUCUGAAUCAAAUGUCUUUUAUUUGGCUUUUUGAUGUGAGUUUUUCAUGUUUACUGUUUCCUCUGUGAGAGUCUUGUCUCCAUUCAGUCAGCUACAAGUUUUUGGGUGCAAAAUAUUUGACAAUACAUCUGAGAGAAGUAAGCAGUGGUGCUAGUUCUUAGCAUAAAGAGUUUUGAGACUGGCUGGUUUCUCAGGAGCAAUGAUCAACACUCCCGGUGUUCCAACAGCUAUAUGUGGUUUUUAUGAGAAGUCCCCUGCAGGUGGUUUCUCCUGAGACUGCUCCUUUGCUUCAUGCUUCCAUUAUGUCGUUCACCCUUCCUCUGGCUUUGCAGUAAAAUGUUUUCACAGGAUGGAGAUAGAGCACCUGCAGAGGCUGCGUCAGGCCAACCAGGACCUUCUACAAAGGCUCAGAACAAAGCAGGAAGAGAUCAGAAAAAGACUUCCCAGCAAGCCAUCUCUUGAUAACAGAACAGCUACUGAAAGCUCUGUCCCCUUGCCCACAAGAAGGAAGGAAAAUCAGGCUGAUGCUGUGGAGCCUACAGCUGACCCUGCAAUGUUGGUGUCUGUGGAACCUGGAGCUUACGCAGCCAGAGCAGCCCUCUGUUCAUCUCUUAAACACAACAGCAAUGGCAGAGGGGUGCAGCAACAAGAGAAGAUGCAGGAAGCAGUAGGUUUGGAUUCCAGCUUUCCUGGGAAAGAGAAGAAUGUUAUGCCAGUGACUGCAAUCAUUACCUGUGGUAGAAAAACCUCUGGAGUGGAGAGGGGUGACCAUGCUCAAGGAAGUCCAGAGAAAGAAUCGUUCCCUCUGGGACAUGGAGAGAACAGAAAACAGUCCACUCUGCUAGAUGGCUUCCAUGAGAAGAAACAGCUUGAGAGUCGUCUGGCCCCAUCCCUGAGCAGCAGCCAAGGUGAAGAGACCAGCAAGCAACAUGUGGUUGUUAGAGAGCCUGUAAUUCGUGAAUCAGUCUUGCUGACAUCUCAGUCCCAAGAGUCAAAGAAGGAAGCUGGUCAUGUCACUUUUGAGUCUGACCCUGAAGAACAUACCAUACCUGUGAGCACCUGGUCCGUGCGUCCUUUCCUGGGCUAUGACUGGAUUGCAGGGCUUCUAGAUACAAGCCCUUCAGUAGCAGAAAAAUCUGACCAGUACUUUGCUGAGCUGCACGAGUUCCGACAGGUCAACAAAGAAGAAUGUAUUCACAAGCAGCACCCAGAGUGCAGGGCUCGGGACUACAUAGAUGCUGAACAAGAACCAGAUUUGAUAACCAGUUCCCAUAAGUGUGUUUACUGUUACCGGUUAAACCAGCGCUUCUUCCCUGUCCCUGUGGAUUCAGAGUCUGCCUGCCCCGUGUGUAAGAUCCCACGUACUCACUGGCCCCCAGAGAAAUUGGGAGAGCCAGCCUAUGUCAGGGUCAGCAUUCCCAGGUCUACCCUUAUGCCUGCCUACAAACACAAAGCCCAUCGCAGGAAGAGCUUUGAACCAGAAGACAGUCUAGCGUUACCUUCGCACUGCCUGGCUGGCUGGAAAAAUAUCAUCCCUUCCAGCAACCCCACACUCAGCAGUUUGGAUCUGCGAGCUUCCCUGGAAGAGAACUCUCCUCACCAUCCUCGCCUGGGCAUCAUAAUCAUCGGUGGCUGAGCAAGUGAAAAUGCCUGGAAGAUUUUCCCCUGAUCUCCAUAGGGAAGCAUUUUACUUUGGUGCUGUGGAAACUAGUAACUUGGUGUCCAGAGUGUCAGGAGGAACCAGAACUGACCAGCUUCUGAACCUGACCCGCUUGGCACACUUCAGAUUUAGCAGUGCUUCUCAGCAGAAGGAGCAAAACAAACCUGGCCACUACAGAGCAGCUCCAGAUUUAAACCUGACUGCCUCAACUCUGUGAACUACUGGCUUGAUUGUCCUGGGGAAGGGAAACAACUCUAUUUGGAUAAAAAUAAAUCUUUGAAUGGAUUUAUAACUAGUUUUCAUAGUCAUGUGUGUACAGGAGCAACCAAUAGACAUACAUGAGAGUUUGUACAUUCAACUAUGGUUUUUUACUUUCUUUCUUUGCUUUUUGCAGCUACUUCUAAGCAGAUGCAUGAGCUCCCCUGCCUAGGGCUGGAUAAAGUGAUGUGUACAGGAUGACUAACUAGUACUGUUACCACUAGGAUGGCUGUAGCAACAGAGUUCAUCUGCCGCCUCAACUAAAUAAACCAGAAGUGUAAUGUUAACUCUGGAUGCCAGGGUGAGGAAUGGGCCUCUGGAUGGCCUGGUUUAGUGGAAUGCAUACAAAUAUGUCCAUUUCCAAAUGUUGGAAACAUGACACAUAAUUUGGUAAUGCCUUCAACUUGAGUUACUCAAUAAUUUAGUUUACAAAAGUGCAGUUUCCUUUCAGUGCUAUGUCUGAGGGUGCAUUACAUCAGAGUAAUCGUGAAUGUGGAAAAAGUAAAAUGAGACGUUAUUUACCAAAAAGCCAGAUAAUGCCUUAAGAUGUUUGUAAAUUCUGCUUGCCUCUGCUUUUCCAAGCUUUUUUGGGGAUAAACCAAAAACAUUUUUGAGUUUUUAAAUUGUGACAAAAGAAAAUAUAGUAUAUAAUGUGAUUUGUUUAAACUUUAUAGACUGAUCUUAUUUUCCUUGUCUAAAAACAAUAAACCCGAUGUUUUAUUUUGCUUUGAAUAAGUCUGAAACAGCAAUUCUUGCCACAAACUUAUUUCUGGGGUCUAAUGUGACAGAAGGAAUUAGGAUUAUAGCAAUGAUAUUUUCAGCUUCUUGGCAUUCACUGUUAUUUAUAUAUCAAAUAUAUUACUUAUUAAAUCAAAUGUACGAAUAGACUUUUUUUAAAGAUUGAAAAUAUUAAAAGAAAUUAAUCCAGUGACUAUAAAA